rnacentral:ncRNA from 31 species
GGUUGGAGUUUCAAAACUUUCAAGAUUUUGCUUCUUUGGGUCAAGAGGC